AAUCUUGUUCUUUCAAGCGUUUGAUAUCACACACAACAACAAUGGCGUCUGCAAGGCAUAGUGAGCACGAGGUCAAGAUCCAAAAAGUGGAUCAACUACCAAGAGAACAAAAGAUGUGCUAAUUUUAAGGAGAUGCUGUAGCUCCUCUCCUAGAUGGGGGUGUUUGGUGGCCAGGAGCAUGUUCCUUGACGGAAAAAAGUAAGUUGAUAGAAGAAGAAGACAUACAGGAAGAUGAAUAAGAGGAUACAUCACUUCGAGGAAAGAAAACCUCCUCAUCUACAUGAAUGAAAUGGACGGAGGCUGAACUGGAGGAGGUUAAGGAAUAUUUCAGAGAAUGUCUGAUCUCGAACACCACUCCAGGAAGAAUAACUUGCAAUAUGUGGAUAGAGGAAAGCAGAGCUAAUAUAAUAAGCUAUGGGAAACUCUAAAGAAGAAAGUGUGGAGUCUGCCCCCCCCCCUCCAAAAAAAAAAUAAAAAAUAAAAAAUAAAACCACCUUGACAGUUUUUGGAUCUAAAACCUACAGCAAAACUUAAUUAUGUAAUGAUGUUUGUUUUCAUCUUCCUCCUUGCUCUUAUUACAGUGAAUUUUUUAUUUUUUUAGUUUUGAGACAAUUUUUUUUCAUUUUCAUCACCGUUUACCAUACUUUUCACUGAAAUUGAAUCAAUGGUAAUUUCUUUUAUUGUGAGAAAGACAUGCAUUGUAUCUUUUUAGAAAGGAUGUAAUCAGUUUGAGAAUGUUAUCAUUCAAAAGUACAUUUUCAUUUAAUUGGACAUUUGAUGAGAAUUUUGUUUGAUCAAGUCAAAUUAUUGCAAGAUUGCAAUUUAUUUAGCAGUAUGGUAGUAUAAAAUUAUUUGUAGUAUUUUCAUGGAUUUUCUUCAUUUGAUGAGAACUUCUUUUAUUAAAGGAACUGAUUGCCAAUUUUUGUAACUAAGGACUUGAUUUAUUUAAGACACCGUUUGCCCUUUGUCAUAAAUAUAUCUUUGUAUCAAAGCCUAGAUUAUUAUCUUUCUGUGUUUUGAAGAUAAAAACAAAAGAAAGUUGACACCUCUUAGUUUGGUAAUUACAUAUACUUUGUGGUAGAUGAAUUGAAGGUUUGUGGACAAAAUAUUUUCAUUAUUUUGCUUGAAUUUUCUUGAACUGUGGCCAUGUUGCAAUUAUUUAAGAUCCAUGCUUAGAAAAAUUGUUAAUUGCUAAAUUGUCAUUUGCAUAACAGCCAGGUAGUUGCAAAAUGAUGGUACAUGUACCUUGACCUAUCAUGAAUUGAUAUUUGUAAAGGUUUCUAGACCAGAUAUGUAGUGUUCAAAAAAUAUUUGAACUAUUUAAUGCUUAUAAUGCUUAUGAAUGCCAAUUGUUUUUUGAAAAAUAAAAACGAAAUGUUAAAAUCU
rnacentral:sRNA from 1 species